UACUCCCCUGUGUGCCUUUAAGGCGUGCGUAGCGAAGCUAACGCGCUAAGCAUUCCGCCUGGGGAGUACGGUCGCAAGAUUAAAACUCAAAUGAAUUGACGGGGGCCCGCACAAGCGGUGGAGCAUGUGGUUUAAUUCGAAGCAACGCGAAGAACCUUACCAACCCUUGACAUCCUCGGACCGCCAGAGAGAUCUGGUUUUCUCACAAGAGACCGAGUGACAGGUGCUGCAUGGCU
rnacentral:rRNA from 1 species